ACCUUCGGGCCUCUUGCCAUCAGAUGUGCCCAGAUGGGAUUAGCUUGUUGGUGAGGUAACGGCUCACCAAGGCGACGAUCCCUAGCUGGUCUGAGAGGAUGACCAGCCACACUGGAACUGAGACACGGUCCAGACUCCUACGGGAGGCAGCAGUGGGGAAUAUUGCACAAUGGGCGCAAGCCUGAUGCAGCCAUGCCGCGUGUAUGAAGAAGGCCUUCGGGUUGUAAAGUACUUUCAGCGGGGAGGAAGGUGUUGUGGUUAAUAACCGCAGCAAUUGACGUUACCCGCAGAAGAAGCACCGGCUAACUCCGUGCCAGCAGCCGCGGUAAUACGGAGGGUGCAAGCGUUAAUCGGAAUUACUGGGCGUAAAGCGCACGCAGGCGGUCUGUCAAGUCGGAUGUGAAAUCCCCGGGCUCAACCUGGGAACUGCAUUCGAAACUGGCAGGCUUGAGUCUUGUAGAGGGGGGUAGAAUUCCAGGUGUAG
rnacentral:rRNA from 1 species